rnacentral:lncRNA from 1 species
GAGCGGAAGAGGACGCGGGGCCCCCAGGAAGAGCCAAGCGUCGGUCACUGUAAAGGAAGGGCGUAUAGCUGCAGGAAGGGCAAACACAUGGCGCCAACGAGAAGUCCCUUCUGGGGGACUUAUACUGAGCCCCCAGUCUGGUCACCUACGACGUCCAAAUUGGGACUAUUUUGUCUCCUUUUAUCAGCCACUUAAGAGUGCGUUUUAUCUGUUCGUGGAAACGCUCAGUUACCCAGCAGCUUGUGGGUGAUAUGGAUCCCGGAGAGUUCACACCCCAGGAUCGGGCUGCGAUCAGACGCCAUGAGCUCAGGAAACUUGAAGAGCAAGCACCACAAGCACUUGUGGUUCUGGCGGACUGGGAGCACGGCCCAGGAACACAGCAGGGGUCUGGGGGGCCGCCUGCACAGCCGUCCACACCGCAGGAAGCUCUGCCCGCGGUGCUGAGCCUCCCCACGCUCGGUGACGGAUGGUCCCUCUCAGGUGGGAGGGCAGGUGCCUCCCAUCCCAGCCCCGCGGAAGGAAACGGGGCAGAGCCCACAGCGAGCCGGCCCGGGCUGGGGGGAGGCCUCUGUCUCGGCUCCCGGGGCCGGUGGAGACGGCCGCCCCUGGGCGAGGCGCUGGGGCGGAGGGGCGGUCCGGGGAGCUUGCCUUGGAGUCAGAGACCCCCGGCCAGGCUGGCUUCUGCCUGCUGCUUAACGUUUGAAGGCCGGUGGGAAGCUAUCCGACUCUCUGUCGGGUGACGGUGUUCUCCAGUGAUCGUGUGAUCUGCCCUGGAUCCAUGCUCAGCACGAGGACCGGAUUUCAGUGUGGCGUCCGCUGACCAGCAGGGAGCCUGGGCUUCACCACUAACUACUUCUCCCCGCUCAGCAGGCUGGUUCUGAAUAAUGGUGAAAAUCGAGUGCCAGUUUAGCCAGGCACUCCUUCAUAUUUAGCAACGUGUCGGACAAUUUAUCGAGGUAAGAGCAGCUCUCCUGGAAGCCCCCAAGCCUGCAAUUCAUUAUCCGAAAAACAAAACUUCAACAACACUUUACGGUGCUAGUGGGGACCCAAGUUUCUGUUAAUCAGAAACCAGGGUCCCAAGGAAGCAGACCAAAAAACACCUCCCUCUGUUCUAACAAGAGCUCAUUCCUGGCCAGAUCCCCGAC